UGCGGCCCUUAUCGAAGCCGAUUCAGUCAUCUCUUACGGCUGAAUCAGUCAACAAAGGAGCCAAAAACAUAUUUUACCGACGGUCGCUGUAAAGUUGCUGUAACUUAUCAGCAACAAUUUGGGAAAGAACAUUG